UCUCUGAUAGUAUAUCGGUUAGUACACGCGCCUGUCAUGUGCGAUUAUUGGAAGGUGCGCGCGCGAAAGCUGGGUUCGACUCCCAGUCAGAGAG